GUUUGCCAACGGGGCAAAGAUGGAGGCCCAACGGGCCCAUAGUAAAGCGCGAUAAACUAGAGACUGUUUCUCCCUUUUCAUUUUCAGCAUAAACCACGGCGUAUUGAACGAGAGAACUGAACAGCAAACAGAAUAAGAUUAUUAAUCUCGGUUAUCGUUGGAAACUUAUCAAAAGGAAAGAACAUUGAUAAGGGACAACAUGAUGAUCCUCCUAUUUUUCCAAAUUCUUCGUUAAUACAGAUAUGGCCUGAAGGAACAAACAUAGAGGCACAAGCUCGUAAGCUGAGGAAUGUUUAAUUUUUAAUUGACUUCAUUCUGUAAACAUUUUGUACGUAACAAUUACAUUGUUGAAUAAAA